AUUGAACGCUGGCGGCAUGCCUUACACAUGCAAGUCGAACGGUAACAGGGAGCUUGCUCCGCUGACGAGUGGCGAACGGGUGAGUAAUAUAUCGGAACGUACCUUUGAGUGGGGGAUAACUAGUCGAAAGAUUAGCUAAUACCGCAUACGAUCUACGGAUGAAAGUGGGGGCUCGUAAGACCUCAUGCUCAUAGAGCGGCCGAUAUCUGAUUAGCUAGUUGGUGAGGUAAAGGCUCACCAAGGCAUCGAUCAGUAGCUGGUCUGAGAGGACGACCAGCCACACUGGGACUGAGACACGGCCCAGACUCCUACGGGAGGCAGCAGUGGGGAAUUUUGGACAAUGGGGGCAACCCUGAUCCAGCAAUGCCGCGUGAGUGAAGAAGGCCUUCGGGUUGUAAAGCUCUUUUGUCAGGGAAGAAACGGGAUGUUCUAAUACAGCGUCCUAAUGACGGUACCUGAAGGAUAAGCACCGGCUAACUACGUGC
rnacentral:rRNA from 1 species